rnacentral:lncRNA from 1 species
AAAGAGAAGAAGAAGAAGAAGAAAGAAGAAGAGGAAGGGGAUUCGAGAGGGAAAGGGAUCCCGGUUGCACUUCCAGCUGAAGGAAAAAGUGUAGAUCUCCUCCUCUACGCAAGGACCUCGAUUUCCAAAAAGAAAAAGGUAAAUAUCCGUUCCUAUCUAGUCUUUUGAUGACAUUAGGCUAUACAAAGGGUGGAUAUAGUCUAGAGGGGU